rnacentral:lncRNA from 1 species
AACUUUUGUGGGAUCACAAUCCCCUCGACUAGCCCCAUAUUUGACAUGUUCACAACCCCGGGAGUGGCAUAGCUCUCCAAAGCUCGGAUCUUCUCAGCCAGCAGCUGAAUCUCUUUGUUCAGUGGUGGGGCACUGUAUUGACCAAAUGGCUCAUUAUGCAUUGAAAACUGAUCAGCCUCUCUGUCCUCCUCUCUGUCGUCGUCAACCCCAAAGAAUGGAGGAAACAGGCUAUCCUUCAG